rnacentral:rRNA from 1 species
GCGGACGGGUGAGUAACGCGUGGGUAACCUGCCCUGUACACACGGAUAACAUACCGAAAGGUAUGCUAAUACGGGAUAACAUAAGAAAGUCGCAUGGCUUUCUUAUCAAAGCUUUUGCGGUACAGGAUGGACCCGCGUCUGAUUAGCUAGUUGGUAAGGUAACGGCUUACCAAGGCGACGAUCAGUAGCCGACCUGAGAGGGUGAUCGGCCACAUUGGAACUGAGACACGGUCCAAACUCCUACGGGAGGCAGCAGUGGGGAAUAUUGCACAAUGGGCGAAAGCCUGAUGCAGCAACGCCGCGUGAGCGAUGAAGGCCUUCGGGUCGUAAAGCUCUGUCCUCAAGGAAGAUAAUGACGGUACUUGAGGAGGAAGCCCCGGCUAACUACGUGCCAGCAGCCGCGGUAAUACGUAGGGGGCUAGCGUUAUCCGGAAUUACUGGGCGUAAAGGGUG